rnacentral:rRNA from 1 species
GACGAACGCUGGCGGCGUGCUUAACACAUGCAAGUCGAGCGAAUGGAUUAAGAGCUUGCUCUUAUGAAGUUAGCGGCGGACGGGUGAGUAACACGUGGGUAACCUGCCCAUAAGACUGGGAUAACUCCGGGAAACCGGGGCUAAUACCGGAUAACAUUUUGAACCGCAUGGCUCGAAACUGAAAGGCGGCUUAGGCUGUCACUUAUGGAUGGACCCGGGUCGCAUUAGCUAGUUGGUGAGGUAACGGCUCACCAAGGCAACGAUGCGUAGCCGACCUGAGAGGGUGAUCGGCCACACUGGGACUGAGACACGGCCCAGACUCCUACGGGAGGCAGCAGUAGGGAAUCUUCCGCAAUGGACGAAAGUCUGACGGAGCAACGCCGCGUGAGUGAUGAAGGCUUUCGGGUCGUAAAACUCUGUUGUUAGGGAAGAACAAGUGCUAGUUGAAUAAGCUGGCACCUUGACGGUACCUAACCAGAAAGCCACGGCUAACUACGUGCCAGCCGCCGCCGUAA